GAACAACAGAUUUGAAGUUGCAUAUAAUGGGGUUAAUCCUUUUGUAAAGUUGGCAUUUUUCUCUCUUCCCUCUCUUUCAAAUUACCUGCUAAACAAUUUUUGUUACAGUGCACUUGACUGAGGAGACUAUUUCUCCCUUAACUUAACAGCUUAGUUGGUAAGAUGCUUUCAUUUUUAGAGAGAGGAAAAUAGGGACAAUAGGGUCUUGAAUUGUUGCUAAUGGUAAUUGACAUUUUAUAGUUUAGAAGGAUUCUUAUUUGAUGCAGCUUAGCUAUUUUAUUAACAUAAAUUUUGCCUUCUGGGAAUUUAGUGUUCAUUGUGUCAUAUACAAAGUAGAUAAAUGAACAGAAAAAUUGUUACAUUGCUAUUACAUCAAGUUGCUAUCUAGAAAUCCUGGGUUUAUGAGUUGUUUCUUAUUAAAACAAAGUCAAGAUCAGAGUUCCAUGAGUGGAGAAAUUCACUGAAUAGUUCUUAUCUUUUAGAAAGUUCUCUAAUACAGAAGCUCUGUUUCUUAUAACCUUACAAGUGUUUGCCAAAGAGGACAUCCACCUCCCUUUUAAUCCUCUUGUAGGAGAAACGAAGUUACAGGGAGAAGUGAGGGUUGAAAUAGACCUAAGGAAUGAUUCAUUUUAUUUUGUGCCCCCACAGAAAUUCUGUUUCCAUUCCUAAUUUCUCAUUCCUUUGUUCAGAUGGGGAGACAGCAUAUUUAAUCCCUACGGGGAAGAGAGGAUCUUGACGUGGUCAGAAUCCUCUGCUGAAAUGAGUUUAGCUACCUCAGAUGUCUUUGCUGGUAACGAUACACAAUAACCUAAAUGAGACUGAAUUUUAAAAUGGAUCCUCAAAGUGCAUAGAAACAAAUGCUUGUUUAUUUUCUUCUUCUCGUAUUAAAAAAUAAAAAAUACAAGUUGGAAGAGGCUUUCUAAGUAUUGCACAUGUUGACACUAAAGGAUUGAUAUAUAAUAUCUUUAGUAUAAUGUUACUAAUUUGGUACUUAAUUUGUUAAGAACAUAAUUUCAUUGACACAUAUUCUGGUGAAGGCAUACAUGUUUAAUGGCUAAAAACUGCAAGAAAUCUGAAUAUAGGUUUUUUGUUUUAGAAAUGACUAAUUAUAGAAAUUAUAUAGUUUUCUUAUACAUAUAAAGGUAAAAACAUUGCUCUUUUUUAAAAGCAAAAUAUAAAAGUUUAUUUUUUGUUUUUACACUUUUGACAGUAAGUUUCAGAUUUGUAAUAAGGCUUGCUGUUUGGGUGCAGCUGUUUGCA
rnacentral:lncRNA from 1 species